CGGGAUGGGCGAACAGAAGUCAGCAGAGGCCGUAGUAGUUGCUCGAAACCGGAGCGAUGAAGGGC
rnacentral:misc_RNA from 1 species